ACAUGCAAGUCGAGCGAGGCAGCAAUGCCGAGCGGCGAACGGGUGAGUAACGCGUAAGCAAUCUGCCCCAUAUCAGGAAAUACCCGUGCCAACGCGCGGUUAAUGUCCAGGAGAGUGGCCUUCGCAUGGAGGGUUGACUAGAGAUUUAUCGGUAUGGGAUGAGCUUGCGUCCGAUUAGCUAGUUGGCGGGGCAACGGCCCACCAAGGCGACGAUCGGUAGCCGGCCUGAGAGGGUGAUCGGCCACAUUGGGACUGAGAUACGGCCCAGACUCCUACGGGAGGCAGCAGUAGGGAAUAUUGCACAAUGGGGGAAACCCUGAUGCAGCAACGCCACGUGUGGGAAGAAGCAUUUCGGUGUGUAAACCACUGUCAUGAGGGAAUAAGGCCCGCCUUCGGACGGGAUUGAAUGUACCUUGAGAGGAAGCACCGGCAAACUUCGUGCCAGCCGCCGC
rnacentral:rRNA from 1 species